rnacentral:rRNA from 1 species
GACGAACGCUGGCGGCGUGCCUAACACAUGCAAGUCAACUUGACUGAAGGAGCAAUCUGACAGUAGAGUGGCGCAAGGGUGCGUAACGCGUAAGUAACUUGCCCCAAGGUAAGGAAUAACGUCGAGAAAUCGGCGCUAAUACCUCAUAAUGCAGCGGAUCCGCAUGGAUAUGUUGUUAAAGGUUUACCGCCUUGGGAUAGGCUUGCGUCUGAUUAGUUAGUUGGUGUGGUAACGGCACACCAAGGCUACGAUCAGUAACUGGUCUGAGAGGAUGAUCAGUCACACUGGAACUGAGACACGGUCCAGACUCCUACGGGAGGCAGCAGUGAGGAAUAUUGGGCAAUGCUCGAAAGAGUGACCCAGCAACGCCGCGUGGAGGAUGAAGGUAUUCUAUAUCGUAAACUCCUGUGAGAGCAGACGAAAGACAGAUUAUUAAUCUGGAUGACUGUAUGCUCAGAGGAAGCCCCGGCUAACUACGUG